AUGUGGCUAAGUGGUAGAGCACUUGUCUGGCAUAUGCAAGACUUUGGGUUCAAUUCCCAACAU
rnacentral:tRNA from 1 species